GGUAACAACCCGCCAAGGGGACAGUGUGAGAAAGCAAGUAUCUGGCAGAGAGACAACUGGAGUGCACAUCUUCCCACAGGGAGACCAGUAGUGGCUGAUCCAUUUUUUUUUUUUUUACCACAACAGAAGAAUCCCUGAAGAUCUUGGCUAUAGAAAGGAAAAAUUCAAGAAAAAUCAAAUGGGACAAGUAACUUGAUCUGCUGAGUCUUCACCAUAAGAAUAGACCUGAAUUGGCUUAGACUUAAAAAUGUGUCUAGCCAAAACUUCAGCAAAUUUAAACAAUAAAUUUUAUGGGUUAUGGAAUCCUUAAGAUUCUUUAUGUCCUUCAUGUGGCAUAAAUGAAGAUUUAUUACAAUUAGUUAUUGGUCACAUUAACUCAUAAAUAUAUAGUUGUCUUUCAGCUAUGCAAAGAAGGAACAAUAUUCAUCCUAAACUGAUCUGUGCACUUUUCAUCUGAUAUCUUAAUAGUACUAGAAUUUUGAUUGUGAGAUUCAUAUAUUGCAGAAUGUACAGCUCUGGCAAGAUUCAUCCCCAGGGACACUGAUAUGACCUCCUCCUGUUCCAGCCCCCUACCUCCUGAAGUUGUUUCUAGAGAAUGGCUUCCAAAACAGCUUCAGAAAUAACUGGUGAUUUCCCAUGACCUUACUUCAUUCAACCUUUCAGACAGAAUUUGUCAGAACUUCACUCAAGUCCUGAGCCUCCUAAACAGACGAAGACUGGAUAACAGAUGAUAAAGCUAGCCUUCUUAAGUCUAGCCAAAUUUUCUAAUUUUUUUACCCCUCCUAAAUCUUUUAAAGAAUUUUUCCUUGCCUCUAUUCAACAAGAAGAAAUUGUGGAGAGUCAUCAUCCCAAUCCCUUGGGUUUGCCUAUUUUGUAAAUCAUAAAUGAGUUGACAUUCAAGGAAUAAUUUGGAAAUGAUCAUAAUUUGGACAGAAAGGAAAUAGAUGGGAUGGAUUACUAAAUUUAAUUUUAAAGCAUUGUAUAACCACAAUUCUACAUUGAUUUCUUGGAAAAUGAAUGCUUCCUGAAUCUAAUGAAAGUUUCUUGUGAAAUUCAAAUGAGUGAAGAGCAUCAAAGACAUCAAAAAACAAAACAAGACAAAACAAAACAAAGCCUCUUGCCUUCCUUUUCUGAUUUGGAAAAGUAAACAUUGUUUCUCAUUUUUUUCUACACAUAACCUUCUCCCUUUAAUACCUUCACUGUGUGAAUAUUUAAAUGAUCAAUUUAAUUCUCACAUUCAUCAUGUCACUUCUCCUUUUCAAGAUAAUGCUAUAAUUUUUUUUACUAUUAAGGAGAAAAAUCCAAGCUACCUAUCUUUUCUUAUCAUACACAGUGCUAAACUUUUCUAGAGAAGAAGCAAAUAAUGCCUUCUCUCCAACGUGGAAGAUACCAGGGUAAACUGAUGUAGGUACAACACAAGUUCAUACUAGUAAAUAAGGGAUGUGUACAUACUUCUAACUUUUGAAUAGUACAUCUCUCAGCAUUCGAAGCCACAACUGUAUGUUCAAAACAUUUUCAUCCAGUGUGCUCUGUUUGCUAGAUUCCUUUACAUAUACUUUAUAUGUAAUCUGAGGUUUUCUCUAAGAAUUAGUUUGUGGGAUAUUUUUCCAUGGGAGCGAUAAAGACAGAAGCCUU